CACGUAGGGGGCAAGCGUUGUCCGGAAUCAUUGGGCGUAAAGAGCUCGUAGGCGGCUCAGUAAGUCGGGUGUGAAACCUCCAGGCUCAACCUGGAGACGCCACCCGAUACUGCUGUGGCUAGAGUCCAGUAGGGGAGUGUGGAAUUCCCGGUGUAGCGGUGAAAUGCGUAGAUAUCUGGAGGAACACCGGUGGCGAAGGCGGCAUCCUGGACCAACACUGACACUGAGGAGCGAAAGCCAGGGGAGCAAACGGG
rnacentral:rRNA from 1 species